GCAAGUCGCGGGGUAAGGCUCCUUUCGGUUAGUACACGACCGGCGCCCGGGUGCGUAACGCGUAUGCAACCUACCUUUAACAGAGGGAUAGCCCGAAGAAAUUCGGAUUAAUACCUCAUAAUAAUAUUAUAUGGCAUCAUAUUGAUAUUUAAAACUCCGGUGGUUAAAGAUGGGCAUGCGUGACAUUAGUUAGUUGGUGAGGUAACGGCUCACCAAGACUUCGAUGUCUAGGGGUUCUGAGAGGAUGAUC
rnacentral:rRNA from 1 species